rnacentral:rRNA from 1 species
CAGAUUGAACGCUGGCGGCAGGCCUAACACAUGCAAGUCGAGCGGUAGCACAGAGAGCUUGCUCUCGGGUGACGAGCGGCGGACGGGUGAGUAAUGUCUGGGAAACUGCCUGAUGGAGGGGGAUAACUACUGGAAACGGUAGCUAAUACCGCAUAACGUCGCAAGACCAAAGUGGGGGACCUUCGGGCCUCAUGCCAUCAGAUGUGCCCAGAUGGGAUUAGCUAGUAGGUGGGGUAACGGCUCACCUAGGCGACGAUCCCUAGCUGGUCUGAGAGGAUGACCAGCCACACUGGAACUGAGACACGGUCCAGACUCCUACGGGAGGCAGCAGUGGGGAAUAUUGCACAAUGGGCGCAAGCCUGAUGCAGCCAUGCCGCGUGUGUGAAGAAGGCCUUCGGGUUGUAAAGCACUUUCAGCGGGGAGGAAGGCGUUAAGGUUAAUAACCUUGGCGAUUGACGUUACCCGCAGAAGAAGCACCGGCUAACUCCGUGCCAGCAGCCGCGGUAAUACGGAGGGUGCAAGCGUUAAUCGGAAUUACUGGGCGUAAAGCGCACGCAGGCGGUCUGUCAAGUCGGAUGUGAAAUCCCCGGGCUCAACCUGGGAACUGCAUUCGAAACUGGCAGGCUAGAGUCUUGUAGAGGGGGGUAGAAUUCCAGGUGUAGCGGUGAAAUGCGUAGAGAUCUGGAGGAAUACCGGUGGCGAAGGCGGCCCCCUGGACAAAGACUGACGCUCAGGUGCGAAAGCGUGGGGAGCAAACAGGAUUAGAUACCCUGGUAGUCCACGCCGUAAACGAUGUCGAUUUGGAGGUUGUGCCCUUGAGGCGUGGCUUCCGGAGCUAACGCGUUAAAUCGACCGCCUGGGGAGUACGGCCGCAAGGUUAA